rnacentral:rRNA from 1 species
AUGCAGAUUCUGCACUUCGACAUCAAGCCACACAACAUCCUUCUUGACAGCAAUUUUGUCCCAAAAGUUGCUGAUUUUGGACUUGCCAAACUAUACCCAAGGGACAACAGUUUUGUGCCAUCUAAUGCCUUACGUGGGACUGUUGGGUACAUAGCUCUGGAGAUGAUAUCCCGGAGCUUCGAUGCCAUAUCAAGCAAGUCAGAUGUUUACAGCUUUGGGAUGUUGUUGCUGGAGAUGGCUGGAGGAAGAAGGAAUGCUGAUCCAAAUGCGGCGAACUCAAGCCAGUCUUACUACCCAUCAUGGGUGUAUGACAAACUAGCUGCUCCAGUGGUGGAUGCGAUAUCUCUGGUUGCUGGCAUGCAUGAAUUUGAGAGGAGGCUGUGCAUCAUUGGGUUAUGGUGCAUUCAGAUGAAGUCGCACGAUAGGCCGACAAUGAGCGAGGUCAUAGAGAUGCUGGAAGGUGGCUUUGAUGGCCUGCUGAUGCCUUCCAGGCCAUUCUUCUGCGACGAUGAGCACACCGCUGUUCUAGAUUCUUACCCUUUGUUAUCCGAGCUGACCGAGAUCUCGGAGGAGGAUGAGAUCUCGGAUUCUUAUGUAUCCCGUGUCCUGUGA